UAAAAAAUAAGCUAAUUAAGCUAAUAGGUUCAUACCCUAUAAAUAUGAGUCUAAUCUCUUUUUUUUAA
rnacentral:tRNA from 1 species